rnacentral:rRNA from 1 species
GAUGAACGCUGGCGGUAUGCCUAACACAUGCAAGUCGUACGAGAGUUUUUAACUCAAGUGGCGGACGGGUGAGUAACACGUGAGAAUUUGCCUUUAGGAGGGGGACAACAACUGGAAACGGUUGCUAAUACCCCAUAUGCUUUCGAGUGAAAUGAAUUUAUUCGCCUAAAGAGAAGCUCGCGGCUGAUUAGCUUGUUGGUGGGGUAAGAGCCUACCAAGGCGACGAUCAGUAUCUGGUUUGAGAGGACGAUCAGACACACUGGAACUGAGACACGGUCCAGACUCCUACGGGAGGCAGCAGUGGGGAAUUUUCCGCAAUGGGCGAAAGCCUGACGGAGCAAUACCGCGUGAAGGAAGACGGCCUAUGGGUUGUAAACUUCUUUUUUCAGGGAGGAAUUCAAUGACGUGUACCUGAAGAAUAAGCAUCGGCUAACUCCGUGCCAGCAGCCGCGGUAAGACGGAGGAUGCAAGUGUUAUCCGGAAUCACUGGGCGUAAAGCGUCUGUAGGUUGUUAAACAAGUCAACUGUUAAAUCUUGAGGCUCAACUUCAAAAUCGCAGUCGAAACUGUUUGACUAGAGUAUAGUAGGGGUAAAGGGAAUUUCCAGUGGAGCGGUGAAGUGCGUAGAUAUUGGAAAGAACACCGAUGGCGAAGGCACUUUACUGGGCUAUUACUGACACUCAGAGACGAAAGCUAGGGUAGCAAAUGGGAUUAGAUACCCCAGUAGUCCUAGCCGUAAACAAUGGAUACUAGAUGUUGAACAGAUCGACCUGUGCAGUAUCAAAGCUAACGCGUCAAGUAUCCCGCCUGGGAAGUAUGCUCGCAAGGGUGAAACUCAAAGGAAUUGACGGGGGCCCGCACAAGCGGUGGAGCAUGUGGUUUAAUUCGAUGCAACGCGAAGAACCUUACCAGGGUUUGACAUGAUACGAAUUUUUGUGAAAGCAGAAAGUGCCGU